rnacentral:rRNA from 1 species
UUCCUACGGGGGGCAGCAGUGGGGAAUAUUGCACAAUGGGGGGAACCCUGAUGCAGCAACGCCGCGUGAGUGAAGAAGUAUUUCGGUAUGUAAAGCUCUAUCAGCAGGGAAGAGAAUGACGGUACCUGACUAAGAAGCCCCGGCUAACUACGUGCCAGCAGCCGCGGUAAUACGGAGGAUGCGAGCGUUAUCCGGAUUUAUUGGGUUUAAAGGGUGCGUAGGCGGGACGGUAAGUCAGCGGUAAAAAUGCGGAGCUCAACUCCGUCGAGCCGUUGAAACUGCCGUUCUUGAGUGAGCGAGAAGUA